rnacentral:rRNA from 1 species
CCUACGGGGCGGCAGCAGUGGGGAAUCUUCCGCAAUGGACGAAAGUCUGACGGAGCAACGCCGCGUGAGUGAUGACGGCCUUCGGGUUGUAAAGCUCUGUUAAUCGGGACGAAAGGUCCUCUUGCGAAUAGUUAGAGGAAUUGACGGUACCGGAAUAGAAAGCCACGGCUAACUACGUGCCAGCAGCCGCGGUAAUACGUAGGUGGCAAGCGUUGUCCGGAAUUAUUGGGCGUAAAGCGCGCGCAGGCGGAUCAGUCAGUCUGUCUUAAAAGUUCGGGGCUUAACCCCGUGAUGGGAUGGAAACUGCCAAUCUAGAGUAUCGGAGAGGAAAGUGGAAUUCCUAGUGUAGCGGUGAAAUGCGUAGAUAUUAGGAAGAACACCAGUGGCGAAGGCGACUUUCUGGACGAAAACUGACGCUGAGGCGCGAAAGCCAGGGGAGCGAACGGGAUUAGAUACCCCAGUAGU